CACAGGACCUGGCCCUGGCCCUGGUCCUGGCCCUGGUCCAGGUCCAGGACCAG
rnacentral:miRNA from 1 species